GACGGGUGAGUAACACGUGAGCAACCUGCCUAUCAGAGGGGGAUAACGAUUGGAAACGAUCGCUAAUACCGCAUGACAUAGCGGAAUCGCAUGGUUCUGUUAUCAAAGAUUUUAUCGCUGAUAGAUGGGCUCGCGUCCGAUUAGAUAGUUGGUGGGGUAACGGCCUACCAAGUCGACGAUCGGUAGCCGGACUGAGAGGUCGAACGGCCACAUUGGGACUGAGACACGGCCCAGACUCCUACGGGAGGCAGCAGUGGGGGAUAUUGCACAAUGGGGGAAACCCUGAUGCAGCGACGCCGCGUGAGGGAAGACGGUCCUCUGGAUUGUAAACCCCUGUCUUCGGGGACGAAACGAGACGGUACCCGAGGAGGAAGCCACGGCUAACUACGUGCCAGCAGCCGCGGUAAUACGUAGGUGGCAAGCGUUGUCCGGAAUUACUGGGUGUAAAGGGAGCGUAGGCGGGCAGGCAAGUCAGGCGUGAAAUAUAUCGGCUCAACCGGUAACGGCGCUUGAAACUGCAGGUCUUGAGUGAAG
rnacentral:rRNA from 1 species